UGAAGCAGAGGAGGAAGAGGAGGAGCCUGAGCAGCUUUUCCGAAGAUUACGAAAAGGAAAGGCUUGUGCAAGGAAUGAAGAUGAAGGGAACUCAGAUGAGCGCCUCUCUAUGGGCAUGCUUGGAUCGUCUAUUCCAGGAGAGAGAGAGAGAUUGAACCGUCCUCUUAUAAGACCACUUCAUUCGGAUCAGUCAAGUGAUCCAAGUGCAAAUCCUCCACCAGUUGUAAUUCCCCCACCCCCUGCAAAACACAUGGAAAGGGAGAGAUUCUUUCAGGAAAAGAAGGUAGAUGGUUCUGCAGUGUCUGGCCAUAUGAGGGGUCUGUCAUUGCAUAGUCGCAAUGCCAGCAGUUCUCGCAGUGGAAGUGUAGAUUUUAGCGACUAAGGAAACAAUUAUAAGUUGUGAUUUUCUGGUUUGUAUUUAAUUACAGGACUUUUGUUAUGGUUUACAUACUCUCUACUGUGUGUGGUUUUUGUUUUUAUUUUUAUUUUUUAUGAUGGUCGGGUGUUAUAGGAUAGCAGAAGGUUAUAGCUGCAGAACUUCAGAU
rnacentral:misc_RNA from 1 species